UGGAAGUUAUUCUGGAAAACGGGGAAGUCGGAAUCCUUAGAGGAGCUGCCAACGUGCAUUUGCCUGAGUUCCUUCAGCAGUGGGGAAGAGAGGGAGAAUUCCAGACACGUCAUCCUGAUUUCACAGGCCUGCAGAGAUCCCCAGAGUGGACUGAUCCAUCUGGGGGAGGAACAAAGUCAUGGGAUCAGAGAAGAUCUGGGAGCUCAGUGCAGAGAGCAAGUAGGAUGGUGGGAAUUAUUAGAGGAGAAAUGGAGUAAAACCACAAAAGACUUCUUGAUACCCCUCUAAACCCCUCCCAUAUCUGUGAGGUUGCUCACAGAGCAAAACCUCCCUGCAGGAUCUGUUUUGUAAAUCUGCCAAAAGGUGAAGACAACCACUUUAUCUGCGAGGGAAUAUUCAUUUAUGGGGCUUCAGUGGUGACACAGAUUUGAAAAAAGGAAAAUAGUCUUAAACCCUUCCUCAGGAGAGAGAUUUACUUCCAGUUUGAUUCAGUGGGAUUGCUUUGAGUCUGUGAGUUCUCAGCUCAUGAAGAGCUUCCUGGCUGAGGGGAUGAAGACAUUAAAGCCUUUGCCCACUCAGGGCAAUUGCUCUGGAGACAAACACAGCUCAGAAAACAAAUGUUCUGAGCUACCUGGAAGUUCUGGUUCACUAAACACAUGAAGAGCCAGAGAUCCUUCUGAACCUGCAAGUGAAAUUUAUUCUCAAGGUGAUGCUUGAGCUCAUUAUCUGCUCCUCUUUCUAAAUGUAAAGUAAGGAGUGAAAGGCCCAAAUAUUCCAUAUAUAACAGCUGACAUGUUUCCUGCAUUCCUGUGUUUGCCUAAGAAGUCAUGGAUAAUCAAUUUGAUGUGCAAAAUACACUGCAGGGAUGAAUUCUGAGCCACAGCCCUUGCCAUGCCUGUGCUGUUCUGAGAGACAGAAACUUCCAGGAAAGGAACAGCAGUGAAAAUCUUCCUGAUCAUUCUCUCAUCAGGUUUUUUUUCCAAGAACGUGUCUGGAGGUGGAUUCUCUAGACAGUGUUUGGGUUUUUCUUACCCCUUGAGUGGCUGGUUCUCUGUGUGUCAGUUAUUUUCUCACUGUUUUUCUUCCUGUAUUAGAAAUCAAAGUUACUUCAUCAGGAUAUGUAUUUUUUAUAUAUAUAUAUAAUCACUAUAAUCUCAACUAACCUGAAACAUUUACUUUUCAGAUUUAUUAUUUAAAUAUAUGUUUAAAAUGAUUAAAACAAUUCCCUACAUGUAUUACAAAUAACUUCCCAUCUUAUUACUGUUGGGAAGCAGAACAGGCAGGAACCAGCAGCAGACAGAUAUAAUUGUAACAGAGGUUCUCUUUUAAUAAAUAAUAGAUUGGUUGUAAUGAGACUUAUGGUCUUCAUAAACUCCUAGAAUGUUUUUAACACAACCAAAGUAAGUAAGUUUAAAGUCUGAUUUAUCAGCCUUAACCCUUUCAGAUAAUUUUUUGCCUUGUUUAUCUUCGAGGACAAACCCCAACAUUUAUCUCAUCUUGAGAGAUUUUCCCACCAAACAGAAUAUCUAUGGUUCUGGCAAGAAAAAAAAGGGAAAUUUGUGUGGAUAAAAAAAGAUGAGUGCCAAUCCUGAUGGUGUGGAAAAACUGAGACUGGACAACCUCAAAAAAGCUCCCUUUACCCUGCCCUGAAGAACUGCAGCCACAGUGUUUCAUGUGGAGGAAAAGUCUCCAGAAGCCACCACUUCCCCAAAGGAAGGAGGUGGCAAAAUAUCCGGAGCCUCAUCUUGAAGAGCUUUGGAAUGGCCAAAAGGUUCUUCCUUUUCCAGGUCACUGCCAGGUUUUAGAAGAUACAAUUUUCCAGCAUCUAAAGCAGGAAAUCCCAGCUAUUUUCCAUGAGAAGAAGCAGAGGGAUGACAGGGCUUCCCCCCAGAACACUCCCUGGGUAAUUGCUGAAGACAUUCCAAGCCACUCUAACGAAGUGAACUGUCUGCCAGUCAUUCUGUUCUCCUUGGAAGACCAUCUGUUGCACUUCAAAUAUGUAAAGGUCUGCUAUCAUUUAUUGCUCCAAACAAAUCCACUCCUUUGUCUCAUGGGCUGGAGCUCCUGAAUGGGGACUGAAGGUGGUUUCAGUCACGGAGGGCAGGAUGUUCAGGAUAUUCAGGAUAUUUUGUUGCUCUCUAAGUGAAAGGUGCUCACUCAGCUCAAAUUUCAGAGCACAAACAGUGAUUAAACUGAUUUCGGUGCUUUUGAAUAAUUUCAAUUUAUUUGGCAACAAAUUGUGAACAACAACAACAACAAUCUGAGAUGUAGUUUCUGUUAACUCAGCCAGAAGCACAUUGUAAGAUUUUUGCUUCUGGUGAACAAACCUUUCCAUUGUAGUGGUAUCCAGACUUGAUACACAUUGACAUUUGAAUUAACAUUAUGUUAUUUUAACUAAAUUGUUUAAUUAGCUUAUUUGUGGCUGAAACUAGUGAUUCAAAGCAACUUUCAGUAGUGAAAUAUAAGGUCAGCAGCUCAAAAUGCAAGAAGCUUUCUUCUGGUGGAUAAACACGUGUCCUUUACAGGGAUGUAACACUUGCCUGUACAGUCUUUAUUUAUGAGUUAACUGGGAUCCUUUCCAUGAAUUAAAUGAGCAAGAUCAGGCAUUAAAUGAUGAUUUCUCUUUGUUUCUCCUGCUGCAGAUUUUAAAGAGGCUGUACAACCCCUCCUCUCAGAUUGGAGAACAUAAGCAUUGUAUUUUCACAGCAGAGAAGUUCUGUUCAGAGAUUUCCAGCCAGGGAAACACAUAACAAUUUCUGUGUGAUUAGGGAGUGGUCCUAUCUUUUUAUCCUUUUUUUUUCCUCUGUCCCUUCUCCUCCCUGCAUAGCAGUUACUGUUCUGGUCAGAAGGAAUAAUAUGUUAGAUCUUGAAUGUCAGUAGCCCCAGAGAUUCUGACAAGACUAUUCAUGUGCAUUCAUACGUCUUAACCAAAGCUGACACUAAAGAGAGCAAGAAUCCUCAUAUUCCUCUUUUUAUUGCUGUGCAUUAAACUCAAAUCUUCUCUUGGAGACCUCUGCUGAAAAAUGACAUAUUCCCCAUUUGAAAAAGGCUUUCUGGCAGGGUCUAAACAAAGCAGCUGGACAUCAACGUGGCCCAGGGCAGAAAGCUCCCACAGUUUGGUUUACACCCCAGUUAUGGACACCUACCAAAUGCUGGGAGAGAAAUCCUAAUGGGAAACAAACAGUAAUGUUUCUGUUGUAAUUUUUUAAUUUAAAAAUUAAGUGGUCUUCUAAUUUCUUGAAACCUUAUAGGAAUACUUGGAUUCUGGUAACUUGAGGUGGAUGUUUUCUGAGAAACACACCCUGUGUGAAUGCUCUGCUCUCCCAUUUACCCCAGACAUAUUUUACACAUACUUUUAGUACAGUUUUUUGGGUAAUUUUGCAGUGAUCUGAUCGUGUUGUUAAAGCCAGGUAGGCAAUUUUUACAGCAAUGAUAUUUUUAAUCUUCUUUUUUAUAAUUGUUGGAUAGCAGUGACUAACACAGCCUCGGUGGCUCUGGGCACCUCGCCAUUCUUAGGUAGUUUAAUUUGUUAAAAAUUAUCUUCCCUCCCACCCAAAUCCCCUUGAAACCACUUGGAGAGGAGAAGUGUUGAACAGUUGCCAAUAAUAAGUCCUGCUGAGACCUCUGUAUCCUCCUGAUAGAACUGUUGGUGCCAACCAGGGACUGACUGGCACGAGUUUGAACUCUCCACUGCUUGAUGGAUCUGCUUCACAUGGACCAAUUACAACAAUUCCCACCUCUGAAGUCGAAGCACUUGGUCUUCCCUUCAUACCUCAGGUUCUUGGCAAUGUGUUCAGUCCUACAACCUCAAUUUUCUCUGAAUAAUUAAGUAGAACGUAAAUACUUUGAAAAAGUAGGAGAGAGUCUGAAUGGAAAUCAAAGGCUGAAUAAUGUUGUUGUUUUUCAUGUUGCUAUUGUUAAGCUGCAUUUCUUUCCAUUUAUUCUUUAUUUCUAAAAGGCAGCAUCUUCUUUUAAGUUUUUUACAGAGAUUCACCAGAAGAUGCUGUAGUCCAUUGACUGUUAUAUUCAACAGUAUCUUUUGAUGUGAAUGAAAGAGCAAUAGGAAUUCCUACUUUUUUUUUUUUAAAUGGGUGUAAAAAUAUAAAUAUUCCUUUCAAAAUAAAUACUUUUGACCGAAGUGGAAAAUCAUCCAUCCUUUACUCCUUUUGGCUGGAUGUUUCCAUGAGAAAUAGGGAUAUAACACCAGGAUGAGAGACUGGCAUUAACUGCUGAGCUCCUGACAAUUCCAUUGGUUUCAAUCUGAUGCAACAGGGACCAUCUUGCCCUUGCCCCUGUUGUCUUUCCAGGAGAGUAGUUAAUUUUUAAAUUGGAGCAGCUGCAGAUUUUUUUUAACCAGUGAAGUUUCUAUUACACAAAGAUAAACCUAAGAUUGAGCACAAACUGACUUGCCUGUAGCUUUCCUAAUAUGAUUGCACUGCACAGCGUAGAUACUAAAAUUUAUAUUAAAAAUUCUCCAUGCAGUUUCCCUCUAGGGAGAGGAAGAGGGAAGGGAAAGGCUACAUGUGACAGAUGCUAAUUAUGCAGCUUAAUGCACUUCUGGAAGUUGCAGAGAUGAGAACUCUGUAAAAACCCAUCCACAAAACAAAGCCUAUUUUCAACAGCGUUUUUUCCACAGUGCUUUGUUUUCAUCUGCCUCCUCCCCGUUUUCCAGGAGGUUUUAUUUCCCCAAAAACACGUACAGUAUUCAAAGGGCAAGUGAUGUCCAAGGUCCAAAAUUUGCCAAGCAUGGAUAUGACUGUUCUCCAUCGGGUCUUCCUGCUUUGUAGGGCUGUAGGUAGAAUUGGGAAAGCUGGUGGCUCCCAGUCAGGACAGCCUGGGAUUGCUCCUUUAGGACUGGUGACUUCCCAACCUCUCUCCACGUGGGACGAUAAUCGCGCUAACGACGGCAGCGGCGCCAGAACUUCUGAGGUCUUGGUGUGGCCCUGGGCAGCCUUGGAGGAGCAUGUUUGGAGUGAAUCCUCCUCUUGCCAUGGUCCUCAUGUGCAGCCACCACGGAGAAAACCAUCUGUUCCCCUUGGAAGGGGGUUUGGUUCCCCGUGCCCUCCCCCGAUCCCGCUCCGGCCCCAGCUGCCGUGUUUCGAUGAGCGGCGAGGGAACGAAUCCCCUGCGUUAAAAAUACCCUGGGUCUAUUUAGAUGAAAAGAAGAAUCUUGCUUGCCUACACUGACAUGCAAAAAUAGGCUCAGUGUGAGUAAAUCUUCAAAGUUUCUUUUGGUGAAAAUACCCAGCCUGGCUUUUUUUUUUUUUUUUUUAAACUUAUAAGUUUAUUUAUAGAGUGUCCUUCUUUCCUCCUACUCCAUCAAGACAUUUGCAGGAGAUUGUCGCUCGUCUUGUUCAGGAGUCCUGAAAUAAUUUGCCAGGGCCUUUGAAACAUCAUCAUGUUGCACAGUUGUGAUGCAUCGUGCUGCUGUUGCACCAACGGAUCAUAUUUUAGUGUGAGUGUCACGUUAACUGAGACAUUCAGGCCUUCCUUUUCCUCCAGGUGCCUUGCACUGGUUUGUAUUUUCAUUUUAACUCCUCAGUCAGAAAAUUCUGCGUAUAUAUAGUAACUUAAAAUUUUCCAUUCUACAUGCAAGGCAUUGCAUAGAAAAUUAAUGUGUAAUAUGAGAAGAUUAACAGGAUGCAUAUACUUUCCAAAUAUCUCUUAAAAAUAGCUUUCACUGUCACUGUAGCAUCUUAAUUCUGAAUAAUCUCACAGUCCUUCUGCAAAUCUGUGCAUAUAGUAACAGAGUAACCACCUACUUCAUCCUUUCGAACUGCACAAUAUGUAUCUGGGCAUGAAAAAAACUGCAUUUUGGAGUAUGUUCUGCUUUGGCAGGGAGGAUGGCUGUGGGACUAGUGAGAGCAUUAAUGCCUGCGUUAAAUAUUAAUGCCAGCAUUC